UGCAAGUCGAGGGGAAACGACAUCGAAAGCUUGCUUUUGAUGGGCGUCGACCGGCGCACGGGUGAGUAACGCGUAUCCAACCUGCCCACCACUUGGGGAUAACCUUGCGAAAGUAAGACUAAUACCCAAUGAUAUCUCUAGAAGACAUCUGAAAGAGAUUAAAGAUUUAUCGGUGAUGGAUGGGGAUGCGUCUGAUUAGCUUGUUGGCGGGGUAACGGCCCACCAAGGCAACGAUCAGUAGGGGUUCUGAGAGGAAGGUCCCCCACAUUGGAACUGAGACACGGUCCAAACUCCUACGGGAGGCAGCAGUGAGGAAUAUUGGUCAAUGGACGAGAGUCUGAACCAGCCAAGUAGCGUGCAGGAUGACGGCCCUAUGGGUUGUAAACUGCUUUUAUAAGGGAAUAAAGUGAGUCUCGUGAGACUUUUUGCAUGUACCUUAUGAAUAAGGACCGGCUAAUUCCGUGCCAGCAGCCGCGGUAAUACGGAAGGUCCGGGCGUUAUCCGGAUUUAUUGGGUUUAAAGGGAGCGUAGGCCGGAGAUUAAGCGUGUUGUGAAAUGUAGACGCUCAACGUCUGCACUGCAGCGCGAACUGGUUUCCUUGAGUACGCACAAAGUGGGCGGAAUUCGUGGUGUAGCGGUGAAAUGCUUAGAUAUCACGAAGAACUCCGAUUGCGAAGGCAGCUCACUGGAGCGCAACUGACGCUGAAGCUCGAAAGUGCGGGUAUCGAACAGGAUUAGAUACCCUGGUAGUCCGCACGGUAAACGAUGGAUGCCCGCUGUUGGUCUGAAUAGGUCAGCGGCC
rnacentral:rRNA from 1 species